GCGAGCGGGGAAGAUCAACCGACCUUCCCCCCCCCCCCCGCGCACGCUCCAGUUGCCGGGCGGUUGUGCGCCUGCGUAUAACGUACUUCUGGUGGAGCGGGAACUUUCGAGAAGGCCGAAGAAGCGGGGAGGCGGUUUGCCCGUUCAACCGGAGCAGGCCGGCCGGCCACGGCGUCCCGUGCAGCACCCAUGUUUGUGUGCAGGUGUGUGAGACAGUGAAAGACACAAGGGGCAAGAAUCUUGAUUCAGUUUCCACCGUCAGGAAGAAAAGAAACACCCGAGUGGCCAGUGGCAAGCAGUGCCCUUUUCAUCAAAGGGAGUAGGAACUUUGUUUUGUGAUGGGAGUAUGUGCAAGAGUAUGAUGGUGUAUACGAGAGGGAGUCUGCGUUGAGAAUGUGCAUAAGGUAUGAGCAGUUUUUUUUAGAAAAAGCGCGGAGCAGACCUGGAAGCUGGUGUAGCGCAAGCUACAAUAAAGGCGCGCAGGAGAAGAACCCGAGGCACUACAAAGGUAGAGCCUCCCACUCGCCGCCCUCCUCUAACCUAAUAAUAAGACCCACUGUGGUAAGAAGAAAUUUGAAGCUGCCAAUGUACUUGAACAGUGUCCAUUGUGAGAAGCCCCAAGAAGAGAUAAGCGAGACUUCAAAACAUCAUGAGACCAUGGAGGAUCAGGGGUUGACCAAAUGCCUGGCCAUCUCUUGUCAGUCAUAUGAUAAGCUAAAUUGAAUGUGAAUGUAAUUAAUAAUUGUUUGUAAAUGUUGAAGGUGGGGGGAUGAAACAAAUGUAUGUUUUCCUUUGUUCGGUGAAGGUAUCCAGAUUUUCAGAGGGUUUCUUCCUACCAGUGUAAUUUCAAUAAACUCUGAUGUUGGAAGCAA